rnacentral:rRNA from 1 species
UACGGAGGGUGCAAGCGUUAUCCGGAUUCACUGGGUUUAAAGGGUGCGUAGGUGGGCAAGUAAGUCAGUGGUGAAAUCUCCGGGCUUAACCCGGAAACUGCCAUUGAUACUAUUUGUCUUGAAUACUGUGGAGGUCAGCGGAAUAUGUCAUGUAGCGGUGAAAAUGCUUAGAUAUGACAUAGAACACCAAUUGCGAAGGCAGCUGGCUACACAAAUAUUGACACUGAGCACGAAAGCGUGGGGAUCAAACAGG